UACGUAGGGUGCAAGCGUUGCCCGGAUUUAUUGGGCGUAAAGGGCGCGUAGGCGGCUCUGCACGUCCGUUGUGAAAUCGCCCGGCUCAACUGGGCGGGGUCAGCGGAUACGGCAGAGCUUGAGCAAGCUAGGGGGCAAUGGAAUUCCUGGUGUAGCGGUGAAAUGCGCAGAUAUCAGGAGGAACACCAAUGGCGAAGGCAGCACUCUGGGACGGUACUGACGCUGAGACGCGAAAGCGUGGGGAGCAAACAGG
rnacentral:rRNA from 1 species